rnacentral:pre_miRNA from 1 species
AGGAAAAUUGCUGGGUGAUAUGUUAAGUUUAACUUUUAAAGAAACUGCCAAAAUUGUUUCCCAAAGUAAAAAACAUUUUGCAUUCCCAUCAGCAAU